ACGCCUUAAACUAAUGACUAAGGAAAAUAAUGAUCAGAGGUGACGCCCAGGGCCCCACUGCUGAAGUGAAAGGAAUUUUUGACUGUCCCUACAGUGACCCGCCUACGUAAUGGGAAGACUUGGUGCUUUGAUCU
rnacentral:snRNA from 1 species